GUCCUUUAUGGACAUCCGAUAAAAUUGGAACGGUACAGAGAAGAUUAGCAUGGCCUCUGCGCAAGGAUGACACGCACAAAUCGAGAAAUGGUCCAAUUUUUU
rnacentral:snRNA from 2 species